UACGUAGGGUGCGAGCGUUGUCCGGAAUUACUGGGCGUAAAGAGCUCGUAGGUGGUUUGUCACGUCGUCUGUGAAAUUCCGGGGCUUAACCUCGGGCGUGCAGGCGAUACGGGCAAUACUUGAGUGCUGUAGGGGAGACUGGAAUUCCUGGUGUAGCGGUGAAAUGCGCAGAUAUCAGGAGGAACACCAAUGGCGAAGGCAGGUCUCUGGGCAGUUACUGACGCUGAGGAGCGAAAGCGUGGGUAGCGAACAGGAUUAGAUA
rnacentral:rRNA from 1 species